CUGCAAGAGGAGCUGGGAAUAUUACACACAGAACACAGCCGAACCACAACACCCUCCCCUGGACACACCCUGCUGGGGAUCACUGCUUCUCUUUUUUCUGAACCGUCGCCCACGCCACUCGGAGAGAAAGCUCUCCCUCAUCAUCAUCCUGAAGAAAACCCCUUUCUCCUCAUUUUCACCCUACAGAGGACACCUACCAAUCUCCAAGGGCUGAGAUUCCCCUGGUGAACAUUGUCUUUUUUCCUUUUUUCUUUUUUUUUCCCUUUUGGAUUUGGACACGGCCUCUCCACAGUAAAUACACAGGCCAGCUAAUAUAAAGACCACAGAUCAUAGUAUUGACUCAACCUACGGCUUGAAGACCUGUGAAACGAAGAAGGACCUAGAUCACUCUCAUUGUAUGUCAAGAAUGGUUACUAUAAUCAGCACCAUGGAAACCCAGGUGUCCAACGGUCCGAGCGGAACCAGCCUGCCUAACGGGCCAGUCAUCAGCACCAACGGUGCCACAGACGACAGCAAGACCAACCUAAUCGUCAACUACCUGCCUCAGAACAUGACCCAGGAGGAAUUCAAGAGCCUGUUCGGUAGCAUUGGAGAGAUCGAAUCCUGCAAACUGGUCCGAGACAAGAUUACAGGCCAGAGUUUGGGCUAUGGGUUCGUAAACUAUGUGGAUCCCAAUGACGCAGACAAGGCCAUCAACACUCUCAACGGUCUCAAACUGCAGACCAAAACAAUUAAGGUAACAUACCCCUGCCCCAGUUCAGCAUCUAUCCGUGAUGCCAACCUGUAUACCCCGGUCUCUAGUCUAAAGACCCAUGACCCUAAAGGACAUGACCUAGCUAAGCUGUUCUACCCCUGACCUACCGGACUCAUCAUCACCUCCCGCAUCCUGGUGGACCUAGCAGGUAUAUCGCGAGGAGUGGGCUUCAUCCGGUUUGACAAGCGGAACGAGGCGGAAGAGGCCAUCAAGGGCCUGAAUGGCCAGAAGCCCCUGGGCGCAGCCGAACCCAUCACGGUGAAGUUCGCCAACAACCCCAGCCAGAAGACGGGCCAGGCCCUGCUCACCCAGCUGUACCAGACAGCUGCACGCCGCUACACUGGCCCUCUGCACCACCAGACUCAGCGCUUCAGACUCGACAAUUUACUAAACGCCAGCUACGGAGUCAAGAGGUUCUCCCCCAUCACCAUCGACAGCAUGACCAGCCUGGCGGGAGUCAACCUGACCGGGCCCACCGGAGCCGGCUGGUGCAUCUUCGUCUACAACCUGUCGCCCGAGGCUGACGAAAGCGUCCUGUGGCAGCUGUUUGGGCCCUUCGGCGCCGUCACAAACGUCAAGGUCAUCCGUGACUUCACCACCAACAAAUGUAAGGGCUUCGGCUUCGUCACCAUGACCAACUACGACGAGGCAGCCAUGGCCAUCGCUAGUCUCAACGGCUACCGCUUGGGAGACCGCGUGCUGCAGGUCUCCUUCAAGACCAGCAAGCAACACAAGGCCUGAGAGAGAGAGAGAGCUGUUAGCUGACGCCAGCUCCUUCAGCCAGCAGGGAGUGCCACUGAGCUCCCUGUUACUAUCACUCUACAUGGGCCUGGACUGAGUCUCUCUCUCUGAUGCACACUCACCCAUACACAGCCCUAUACACAUACAUACACACACUAUCAGACAUGCACACACUAUUAGACAUAUUUACACAUUCAAACAUACACAAAGUCAGAGUUUCAAACAAAUACACUCGUAGAGUUUUUCUUUUCUCUUUACACAACAUGCUAGUCCUUCCCUACGUUUGCCUGGAUUGAAUUAGUGGGGGUGCGUUGUGUAGUUGGUCUCUGGGGUUGGGAGUUAAGAUGCUCGAUGAGGGAGACAGUCUAACGAAUGUGACAGAGAAUGUGUGCUGAGUGCUUUGAUUGAAUUCAGGCAAAUAAUGACAAAAACUGCUGAAACAAAAUGAUCAAAAAUCUAAAAUGAACUACAAAUAUGUGCAAUUUAAACCCCAACUCUUACCCCACGAACUAUCCCAUUAUCUUGCUGGAGAGAGUGUAGUCACUUUUUUUUACACUUGGGCAUUUUGAAUCAGUGAUUUUUUUUAGAUCAAAGAAAAUUAAUUAAAAACAGUGUUCUCUUAUAUACAUAUAUUAAAAUAUAACUAUAUAUUCAAUAUUUAAGGUGGUUAUAAUAGCCGAGUAUGUAAGCAUUUUCUAGAAACUUUGACUACUGUUUCCUGGCUCAACAUUAGGUAGGUUGUGACUAGCUUUAGGGCAGUUUCUUAACCCUAAUAAGGACAGAUCCCAUACGAUUUAGGUUAUCAGACUGAACAGAUACUGGUCACAAAGACAAGCAGCCUGAAGGCCACCAGAAUUACACCCUCACUACACAACACAACACAGUCACACAUCAGCCCUGUUAGGGGGGAAACAACACAUCAUUGACAUCUAUUCUUUUCACUCUGGUUCUUCUAUCCAGAGUAGAAUGGAUGGAUUCCACCACAAGCAGAGCUGUCUGUGUGAACAACGUAGAACAUUGUCCCAGCUAGUGUUCCCAUGGAGACAGUGUUCAUGUACAAUUCUCUGAGAGACUAGGGACCAUGAGUUUAGAGCAGUCAUUUCACCAAAUCACAGAGCCACUUUACCAAAACACCCAACCAGAUAUAACACCCCUCCAAGGGAAUGAGAAGGUUUUUACAAUUCAGUGGAAAUGAUUGGCCUGGCUACGUAGGCUCAACAUCACCAUUAUGCACAGAUCAGAUCGAGAGGACGGUAGUUUUGACUUAGGUUGAGAUUCCGUCAUGACUGAGCAGUGAUAUCUCCUCACUGAGUCCUAGAGGGUGAUACAGCUUAUUGCCUAUUCCUCAGUUUACUAAACACUCAGUUUCCUUCAGACCCCGUAUAUGACACUUUAUAGAAGCUGCUGAGAAUCUGUUUCUAUUCACUCUCAUUAUAACCUUGCCUGCCCUGUCAAAAUAGAAGAAAUCAAGCCUGCAGGAAACCAACAGUGACACGUUUGUUUAUCUCACAUUGGAAACUCAAUUUUUUUUGUUGUUGUUGUUUUGCAACAUCUGAUCGGCACUAUCACCUAGCUGGAAUUUAAAAAAUAUCAACAAACCCAUAGAAAUAAUUUAUGACACCCUUGAUGAAAAUAGAACAACAAAAUAGUCUUGGCAACUGUCUGUUAGAAACAUCUGACAAGACAUUUCAUGGGGAGAGAUAGGAUUACAAUAUAAAGACAUCUGCAUAUAAUAGAUGAAAUAAGGUAAAGUGUGUUCAAGACAUUUUUGCUUUUCUAAAUAACGCUGUGUUAGCCAAAGAGGACAACCAUCUCUUUGAAAGGAUUACUUUAGAGACAAAUCUAUUUUUAUACAUACAAAAUGAACAAGACCUUGUGCUGAAUUUUUACAGAUUCUUAAAACUCUGAAAAACUGGGACACCGCAUGGCUGUAUUUUAAGCCCUUUGAUCUUUGAGAGAGGGAUGAGCGCGUGCAUGCGGUGUAUAGGUGGGGGUCGAGGAAGGGGCGAUGAAGAAAAGUUCUCACACAACCUUACUUUUUCAACCACAACCUAUAAACAAACUAUUGAAAUAGCAAACAAAAAGAACAUAAACAAAGACAUCGGAAUAGAACAAAUAAACAUCAACACAAACCAAUUCACUGAUUAGGAAUCAAACAUUAGAGACACAUCUGCAUUACUAAUACCGCCAUCUUUGAGUGUAAACUAGACAAACACAUAUCACUUUCUCUGAAGUUGCGUACAUUCAGUGUUGCUGAAUGAUUGUACAGUGAAGUGUUAUCGCUUUCACAGGAGACACUUAAAUCAGGCUGCAGUAAAGACAGUCAGUCAGGCCCAAUGAUUUGUCCUCACAGACACCUUGGGCUGGUUCGAAACAGAAAGGCUUGAAGUAGAUUCUCAAUAAAGCGUCCUUUCAAUGCAAAGAUGAUUAGGUUUAUUUGAAUGAAGAUUUCGCCAAAGAAUUUGGAAUAUGAGUGUCAAUAAGAAAUCAUUCAGUCUAUACUAUUACUAACGGCUCCCCUGAUAAUUCUUCUAUAUACCAUUAUCAUUUAUUGUAUGAAGAUCCCUUAUCAUUUUAAAUCCCCAUAGCGCUUGCAGAAAUAUCUGUUGUUCAUAUCAAAUUAUAUCAGAAUGGACUAAUAUCUUUUGGUUAACAUAUCUGUUGAGUAGAUAUAAUUUAGCCCAUUUGCACAGGUGCUUACCACAAACCUACAACAAUGUAAACAAAUAAUUCACCUUUCAGCAAAAACCACAACAGUUCCACACAAGUGUCUCUUGAACCUCAAUACUGUAAUACUCACACCAUCCGCUCACAACAGGAAUCCAAUUAAUCAGAGUAUGACAGCACUGUUUCAGUUGAACCCUCAGCCUCUGUCGAACUCUGACCAUUCCAUUUCUUACUGUGCCCCAGUAGUAUAUUGGUGGUGUGCCAACCAAAACAAACAUGAAAUGUCAUACAUUAAUACCCUGUCAUAAUCUAACUCCACACCUCCCUUCCCCAUUCAAUUAGUUGUGCCCAUACUCAAGAGAAAGUAGCACAGUAGGACUGAUACAGCAUCACUUUAAGAGACCAGAUGUGAAUCUUGGGAACAGAACAGCAAAUAGGCCACGUUGUUGAGCUGCAGUUGAAGUAGUCCGUCCCACUGGUGAUAUGGGGUAGAGUUCCAGCCCAGUUUCCACACACCCUAGACCAACAACAGGCCCUAGGCCACACCCUAGACCAACAACAGGCCCUAGGUCACACCCUAGACCAACAACAGGCCCUAGGCCACACCCUAGACCAACAACAGGCCCUAGGCCACACCCUAGACCAACAACAGGCCCUAGGCCACACCCUAGACCAACAACAGGCCCUAGGCCACACCCUAGACCAACAACAGGCACUAGGCCACACCCUAGACCAACAACAGGCCCUAGGUCACUCCCUAGACUAGAGCAACAACAAACUGUCCCAUCUUACACAGCCAAUACAGAGACCCUCUUCUCUUCCCACACCUAUGUAUGGUAGAGAGCCAAGGACAAUGGCAGGAGACAAAUGUACUGCACCGUUUGAGCAACAAUAAAUAAUCAUCUAAAAAGACAAAAAAACUUUCCUAUGGAACAGUAAGUGCAAUGUGUUUUGUUUUUAUAUUGACUGAGAACAAAAAGAUAUAUAUAUUUUUUAAAAGAAAAAUAAAUUAAACAUCACACUGAAAUGGUUUGUGGGGAAAAGGCGGAAGGAUCAAAUGUAAAGAAAUCUAAGUGUUAAUGCACUGAUUCAUUAAAGAGAAUCAAACAAGCACCGAUGGAGAGCUCUGGAAAUGUCCACAAUCCCAGCCCCGGAUUAGUGCUCUGAACAUGCAAGCUAAAACUGCAUAUUAUUAGUGGGUGAAUAAAAAGAGCAAUUUAAUUGAAAAGACCUUGAAAGGGAUACUGUCUAAUAUAUCAUCAGUUUUAGCCCACGUCGAUCUUAGAAUAUAAUUUGUCCUGUAAUUUUCUUUUACAUAUCAAGACUCACAUGUUAACUUAGCGUAUGUGUUGUUGACGUUACCAUAUAGGACACAUGGGUCCAACAUUUUAUUUGGUUGCUUUGAUUGGGUAUUUUUUCUUUCUUCAUUCCAUUAUUUAAUUAGUUGCAGUUCUUAGUGUAUGCAGAUUUUAGACUUAGUUAGAAAUUUAUUUCAAUCAAAACGUGUUCAAUUGUGUUUGUAAAAGUCUGUGGUAGCUUUUGUUGCAACAUAAUUUAAACAGAAAAAAAUUCAAGAUAGCGCCAACAAACUUGUAUUAUUUGGGCGACUUAAGCUUGUAGUUUUAACUUAUUGUUAACUUAAACUAUUUAUUAUUAUUGCCUCGUAUAAAGUAUGUUUUGUGUAUAUUUAUGGUUUAUUUCAUUAUAUUUGCAAGUUUAAAAGAUUUUAAGUUUGCCAAAAUUGUGGUUACAUUUUCUUUCUUAAAAAGGGAACAAAUAGAUUUUAAAAAACAGCUUUAGAAGUACAAUUUGGAAAUGUUCUCCAUAGUCAAAGAAUGCACUGCUAUAUUUAACUAAUUGAAGUGUAUAAACAUACAUGCUGUGUGCUAGAUGUUAUGCCUUUACUGCCUGUGUUCUGUUUGUCUUGUUAAAUGAAAACCUUUUGAUUAUUUAAUCUAAUCACAGUCUUGUUUUUCCAGCCACUGAGAACCCUGGAGUGUGUCAGUCAAGACAUGGGCUGGGCCUGGGGUGUGGCCUAUUGUAUGCUCCAGGGCAGAGCCUGGACCUUAGGCAGUGCCUGAGGCUCCAUGUGCACUCAGCAUGCUUUCACUCCUACUGCUGAUGAACAGAACUACUGUAGUUAUUAGAAGGACCAUAGUACCAAACUCCAACAUGACAUCUCAUGUACAGUAGUUCCAACAGCAGCCCGGAAGAAAGCAUCGUUGGGGGGGUUACUCCUAUAGGAAAGGGGUCAGUGGUUCUUCUGUUUCUCGACCAACUGUAUUUUGCGUCUAUUUAUUUAGAAGAGGGGACACAAGAGUAACUUAGUGACGUUCUUACAACAUUUUCCUGGAAUGGUAGAACAAAUCAAAGGAGAAAAUGAUCAAAACAGAUCUACUGGCAUCAAUGUAUCAAUGUCAGUAGGAAGAUAUCAAAAUCUCAUACUUCCAAACAUGACCAAAUGAACAAUGACAAAAUGUAACAAAGAAAAUAAACCUUUCAGUUUAGUUUAGGAUAUUUAUUACUGGGAUUUCAGCUGAAGACGCUUGAAGACUUUUUCAUGGAAUUGUUUAAUUAUUUGUACUUUACAUGCCAGAAAAAAUAAAAAGGUUACAAAUCUGA